rnacentral:rRNA from 1 species
CCUACGGGAGGCAGCAGUAGGGAAUAUUGCUCAAUGGGGGAAACCCUGAAGCAGCAACGCAGCGUGCAGGAUGACGGUUUUCGGAUUGUUAACUUCUUUUGUUAGAGAAGAUAAUGACGGUAUUUAACGAAUAAGCUCCGGCUAACACGGUGCCGGCAGCCGCGGUAAUACGGAGGGUGCCGGCGUUAUUCGGAAUGACUGGGCGUAAAGCGCGCGUAGGCGGGAUAGCAAGUCAGAUGUGAAAUUCUAUGGCUUAACCAUAGAACUGCAGUGGAAACUGUUAUUCUAGAGUAUGGGGAAGGUAGGUGGAAUUCUUGGUGUAGGGGUAAAAUGCGUAGAUAUCAAGAGGAAUACUCAUUGCGAAGGCGACAUGCUAGAGCAUAACUGACGCUGAUGCGCGAAAGCGUGGGGAGCGAACAGGAUUAGAUACCCGAGUAGUC